UAGGGAAUCUUCCACAAUGGACGCAAGUCUGAUGGAGCAACGGCCGCGUGAGUGAAGAAGGUUUUCGGACCGUAAAGCUCUGUUGUUGGUGAAGAAGGAUAGAGGUAGUAACUGGCCUUUAUUUGACGGUAAUCAACCAGAAAGUCACGGCUAACUACGUGCCAGCAGCCGCGGUAAUACGUAGGUGGCAAGCGUUGUCCGGAUUUAUUGGGCGUAAAGCGAGCGCAGGCGGAAGAAUAAGUCUGAUGUGAAAGCCCUCGGCUUAACCGAGGAAUUGCAUCGGAAACUGUUUUCUGAGUGCAGAAGAGGAGAGUAGAACUCCAUGUGUAGCGGUGGAAUGCGUAGAUAUAUGGAAGAAUACCAGUGGCGAAGGCGGCUCUCUGGUCUGCAACUGACGCUGAGGCUCGAAAGCAUGGGUAGCGAACAGGAUUAGAUACCCUGGUAGUCCAUGCCGUAAACGAUGAGUGCUAAGUGUUGGGAGGCUUCCGCCUCUCAGUGCUGCAGCUAACGCAUUAAGCACUCCGCCUGGGGGAGUACGACCGCAAGGUUGAA
rnacentral:rRNA from 1 species